UUCCGGUUGAUCCUGCCAGAGGUCACUGCUAUCGGUGUCCGAUUAAGCCAUGCGAGUCGAGAGGUGUAAGACCUCGGCAGACUGCUCAGUAACACGUGGAUAACCUGCCCAAGGGUCCGGGAUAACCCCGGGAAACUGGGGAUAAUACCGGAUGGGUCACCAGUGCUGGAAUGCUUGGUGGUCGAAAGGUGACGCCUUUGGAUGGGUCCGCGGCGGAUUAGGUUGACGCCGGUGUAACGUACCGGCGUGCCUGUAAUCCGUACGGGUUGUGGGAGCAAGAGCCCGGAGAUGGAUUCUGAGACACGAAUCCAGGCCCUACGGGGCGCAGCAGGCGCGAAAACUCUACAAUGCAGGCAACUGCGAUAGGGGGACAUCGAGUGGCAUCCACCUUGGGUGUCUGUCCAACCGUCUAAAAAACGGUUGUUAGCAAGGGUCGGGCAAGACCGGUGCCAGCCGCCGCGGUAAUACCGGCGGCUCGAGUGGUGGCCGAUAUUAUUGAGUCUAAAGGGUCCGUAGCCGGCUUUGCAAGUCCCCUGGGAAAUCCGGCGGCUUAACCGUUGGGCUUUCAUGGGAUACUACAUUGCUUGGGACUGGGAGAGGUAGGAGGUACUCGGGGGGUAGGGGUGAAAUCCUGUAAUCCUCCGGGGACCACCGGUGGCGAAGGCGUCCUACCAGAACAGGUCCGACGGUGAGGGACGAAAGCUAGGGGCACGAACCGGAUUAGAUACCCGGGUAGUCCUAGCCGUAAACGAUGCCCGCUAGGUGUCACGACGGUCGUGAAUCGUCGUGGUGCCGUAGGGAAGCCGCGAAGCGGGCCACUUGGGAAGUACGGCCGCAAGGCUGAAACUUAAAGGAAUUGGCGGGA
rnacentral:rRNA from 1 species